rnacentral:rRNA from 1 species
UUGACGGGGCCCGCACAAGCGGUGGAGCAUGUGGUUUAAUUCGAUGCAACGCGAAGAACCUUACCUAGGCUUGACAUGCAGGGGACAGGUGUAGAAAUACAUCCUUCCUUCGGGACCCUUGCACAGGUGCUGCAUGGCUGUCGUCAGCUCGUGUCGUGAAAUGUUGGGUUAAGUCCCGCAACGAGCGCAACCCCUAUCGUUAGUUGCCAGCGGGUCAAGCCGGGGACUCUAGCGAGACUGCCACCGUAAGGUGAGAGGAAGGUGGGGAUGACGUCAAAUCAGCACGGCCCUUAUGUCCAGGGCUACACACGUGUUACAAUGGCCGAUACAAAGGGCAGCUACCGGGCGACCGGAUGCUAAUCUCAAAAGUCGGUCCCAGUUCGGAUUGGAGUCUGCAACCCGACUCCAUGAAGUUGGAUUCGCUAGUAAUCGCGCAUCAGCCAUGGCGCGGUGAAUACGUUCCCGGGCCUU